rnacentral:tRNA from 1 species
AGCUCAGUCGGUAGAGCACCUGACUUUUAAUCAGGGUGUCCCGCGUUCGAGUCGCGGAUAGAUCACCA